GAGACCCAUGCGCUUAGUUACCAAUCCUCUCUCCGGAGGGGAUGUACUCUAAGCGGACUGCCCGUGCUAAAUGGGAGGAAGGAGUGGGCGGCGGUAGGUCAGUAUGGUCCGAAACCCUUGGGCUACACGCGGCAUACAGUGGAUGGAACAAUGGGCUGCGACUUCGAAAGGAGGAGCAAACCCCCUAAACCCGAUCCCAGUCCGGAUUGAGGGUUGUAACUCACCCUCAUGAAGUUGGAAUCCCCAGUAAUCGGAGUUCAUUAUACUCCGGUGAAAAU
rnacentral:rRNA from 1 species